rnacentral:rRNA from 1 species
GAUGAACGCUGGCGGCGUGCCUAAUACAUGCAAGUCGAGCGAACAGACGAGGAGCUUGCUCCUCUGACGUUAGCGGCGGACGGGUGAGUAACACGUGGAUAACCUACCUAUAAGACUGGGAUAACUUCGGGAAACCGGAGCUAAUACCGGAUAAUAUAUUGAACCGCAUGGUUCAAUAGUGAAAGACGGUUUUGCUGUCACUUAUAGAUGGAUCCGCGCCGCAUUAGCUAGUUGGUAAGGUAACGGCUUACCAAGGCAACGAUGCGUAGCCGACCUGAGAGGGUGAUCGGCCACACUGGAACUGAGACACGGUCCAGCCUCCUACGGGCGGCAGCAGUAGGGAAUCUUCCGCAAUGGGCGAAAGCUUGACGGAGCAACGCCGCGUGAGUGAUGAAGGUCUUCGGAUCGUAAAACUCUGUUAUUAGGGAAGAACAAAUGUGUAAGUAACUAUGCACGUCUUGACGGUACCUAAUCAGAAAGCCACGGCUAACUACGUG